UUAUUGAAAAGUAUUACCCCAAGUGAGAGGCUCAUUAACGCUCUGCAAAGAAAUCACAGUGAGCAGCAGAAUGCCAUCUACCUGCAGAAGAACCAGACUAAUCUGGAGAGGAAAUUCGCCUACCAGCUGAGCCAGGGCAUCAUCAGAUGAAAAAGGUGAAAGAGCAGUAUGAAGAACCAAUAGAAGAAAUCACUGAAAUAGAAAAUUAAGCUGUAGGUCAUAGACCUUACUGAAGAAAAGGAAAAACAAAAUCCAAAACAAAGCCAAUAGCUGAGGCUUCAUCCAGGCUUAGCCCAGGCUGUAGGAAGCAGGCCUGCCACAAACGCCCUGAGGGAAAGGAAAUGAGCAACCCAAAUACCAGACCCUAGUUCUGAGAUAGCUUUGGAUUUGAAAAGACAGGACAAGAGAAAACCAGUGAGACUCAAGGUGUCAGCUAGAAGCCUCCGAGGAAUAUCCUGAAGCGGCCUCAAAAGCCAGGAUGAGAGCAAAGACAAAACUGUGUGAGGAAGAGGUGUUGGGGAAGGGGAAGGGGAAGGACUUGCCCAAACCCUGAAAGUGUCAGCUACUCUACUGGCGAGCCAGGAAAAUUCAGAGGCUGAGGACCCUGAGUGGGACCAGCCUGUCAUCAGUGAGGGUGAGGAAGAGCAGGAUGUCGAAGAAGAAAGCCCAGGGAUGACUACAGCGUGGCUUAAAAUAAGGCAGAAUCCAAAACAGACAAGGAGGCAGCCCCUGCAGAAUAAGGAAACUCUAAAUGUCCUUA
rnacentral:lncRNA from 1 species